UAAUAUUAACCUUCGAUUUCGUAGGUAUGUGGAGUCGUGAGAUGUCGAUAGUUUUCGAUGCUUAUGCUGCGAGCUGUUUGGCAUGGGCAAUACUUCGCCCUGAAAAAAGUCUGAUCUAGCGGUACGGUCCCUAAGGAAAGAAAGCAGUUCAAAACAGAAUCUACCAUUUUAAAGUUGGGUUGUUGAUAAUAUAUCAAAAUAUCGAUAUAUCGAUAUAACAACAAUCCUAUUUUAAAGGGCAAAAGUACGUACGCUCAGAGAAGCUCCACCUGGCGCUUAUUGUUAGUUUUGGAAACUAUGAAAAGCGCUACUGGUGCCGCGGUGUAGUCAGGAACUAAGGAUUCUGCCUCGCAUUGGUGAAAGGCGCUUUUACGGUACUUUUUGGAACUAGAAGUUCUUUCUCAUGAAAGCGCCACCUAUGAGGGCGCAGCUUAUAAUACUAAGGAGCCAUGGAUAUGAAAGUGCGUUCUACGACCGCCAGAUGGCAUAAGGAAAUUAAAUGUUUGAAAAUCUGCACAGCUCAAAGGUCGGCAAUGCAUUUUAUGCAAAUUUACAAGCAGCCCAAAAGAAGGCUACAAAGAAAUGCACAAAACGCUAAUUUACCAGCAAAUUAUUGGUCCCACUUGACAAUAUGGGGUCUUGACAAUAUGGUUCUCUGCGGCAGCGACUCAUUGCAAAAAAUCCAAACGGUGCUAAACAAGACCAUGAUUCUUAUUACUGGCUCUGAAUGGUACGUCAGCCGGUGUCUCCUGUCGAAGAACAGAUAUCGUUAUAUUCCAGCAGAAAUAACAAUAGACUACAGUACCACCGAAGCAGACUUGCCCGACGUCUCCAUAUACGAAGAGAAGGCACUCCACUUCUAUUGAACUAAAACAAAUUACAGUUCUAAAUAAUUUUUAAACUAAUUGAUAUUAAGCAAACUGUACAAUACAAUGAAUAUAGAUAUUAUAAUUCGAUAUAAUAACUAUAAAUACUUAAAUAAAAUUAUAAUUAU
ensembl:ncRNA lncRNA:CR43838 long non-coding RNA:CR43838